AGUUAGGACUUGAACGUUUCUCUCUUGGGGGACACAAUUUAACCCAUUACAGGCAGGAAAAGUGGAAAUUAGUUCUACAGUGGCUUAACGACGCGGCCAAGGGAGAGACCCCCCAGAUACUUUUCCUGCGAGGCCGAGGCCGAGUGGCUGGACAGGAUGUGCUCGGAUUAGCACAGCAGCUGCAGAAGAGAGGACCUCACUCUUCUCCAGAGAAAGGAGACAGUGGGAGGAGAGCUGAGCUGGGGCGGGCCUGUGUGUGGAAAGCCCGACGCAGAAACUCAUGUUGUCUUGUUGGGAAAAACACUGCAAAAUGGAUUAACCUUCACCCUGGAGAGAUGAUAACCUAAUACAAGUAACUACAGGCUGAUCUUUAUUAGUCACUGAGCAAACAUUGCCAAACAGGACAGGCGACCUUCAAUGGUGACUGAUCCAGGAGGAGUCAUUGGCAGCAUCGUCUUCGGAGAAUAACUUUGGGGCAUUUUGGGA